UGAUUAAUAAAAUACGACAAACUAUUAAUAAUUACGAUAUCAAUGACUAAAAACAAUAAUAACUGCUAUUACUCAAGUAUCGUGAUACGGUAAUUAAUAAUAUUCAGUAUCACUGUGCUUAAUAAAAUAAAUUCUGAAUGACAUAUUAUAUUAGACAAGUUUUAAUGACCUAAAUAUAUCUUUAUUAUUAUGUUACAAUUAAACAAAUCCGUCAUGAAAUAUUUAUGGUAAAUUACCAUUUUUUCUAAUAACAGAAAUUUUAUCAUAUAUUUUAACUGCAUAUUUUUAAUAUUAAGCUAUUUGGCAACGUCGCUAAAGCUUUACUCCCUCGCCCGGCAAUGUGACUUGGAACCUAGCAACCAGUGAGGUCAACAAACGAGGUCAAAUUGCAAUUUACCUGUGCAAGAAAAAUCAGUAAAUAACAUUAAUUGGAUGAAGUAUCAAAUUAGUUUUCAUUUCACUUAAAUCACGUUAAUUAAACGGAAUAAAAAUAUCCUAAUAACGAGUAGUACCACUUUUAAGAUUUAAUUUAGUUUAAAUAAUGUAAAUUUGGCAAAUAUUCCAGAUAAAAAGUAUAAUUUUGAAAGGAAUGAUAAAUUGCACUGCUUUAACAAUGAAUAUUGGAUCAGAUAUCAAUCAUAAUUAUCACAUUCUUUUAUUUUAUUAUAAUACAAUUGAUGAUGUAUUGUAUGUAGAUACAUACAGCAUGAAUUGCAUUAGUCAAAAAUAAAAGAAAAGAAUAGAAUUCUGUGAAACAUGGCAGAACUAAAGAAAUGAAUGGAGGCAUCCCCUGUGUUGCCAAGUAUACCAUUAUAUCCAUUUCUUUCUCUUGUAAAUAUUCUUGAUAGGGGUAAAGCUGACAUGUGUAGUCAGUAAUAACGGUAACAAAAAUGAAUAGCUAUUUCGUAGAAAGAUUCGAGUAAUAUUACAAAUUUCAUCCAACUUUAAAAAUACAAAUUAUCUUAUUGAUAACACAUAGAUCAGUUUUGUAUGAUGCUACAAGUUAACUGAAGCUUUUACCGAUGACUCUUUUUCUGCUCCUACUACACAUACAAUGAGUAUAACUUGAAUAAGCCUCGUUAAGGAUCGAGCUUAGAAAGUUGUGCGCAACUCGCAGUGAAACCAGAUUUGUGGGAGGUAGUAAUGGAGAGGGAGGAGUAGUCAGAGAUGUUGGGUCAACGAACGUAUCCAAGUAUCCCCUUUCUCCUUGCAUCAAGUUAAGCCACUACUAUAUCGUGGUGAACUCGUCUUCUCCAUAAAAGCGGUUACCUUUCUGCGCAUACUAGUACGACUACAGCGCAUACUAGUAGAAAUAUCUAACCAAAGGACAAAGACUUCAUGGUAGGGAUGAAAUCAAUAGUCACAAUACUCAACAUUGACGUUAACAAGCUGGAAAUGAUAAAAAAAAAGUAUUACUAUGUUAUUGAAUUUUGGGUUAACAUAGGCUAAUAAAACAAUAUGAAGUUUCGCAAGCUAAAUAUAGGAUUUCAAAGUUGAAUUGGUAUACCUACGUUUUGAUAUUUGAUUUUCAAUGGAAAAGCUAUACCCGGAAAACUUCUUAUCGACGCUUCUUCCCCUCAAUGAAGUAUGAGG